CUUCCCUUUCCCAAAUUCCUUUGCUCCACUCCGAUUUUCACUAGAAAUCAAACACCGAAAGCCCUUCAAACCUUGAUUUCCUCCUCUAUUUAAAGUGAUCUAGGAUUUCUUCAUCUCCACUGUUGAUCUUUGGUCUUCAAAGUCGAUCAAAUCCUGUCCUUUUUCUUCUUCCGAAAAACCAUGGUUUCUGUUUAUUGUGUUGUCAGAAAUCGGGGGCAUGACAAUUAAUAUGGUAUCAGAGCAUAAGUGGAUAUAUUAUGACAUAUAGAAUUAGACAUGAGUGUAGGUGGGUAGACAUUAGGAACAUUGGGAUGAUGACUUAUAUUGAUUAUAACAUAAUCUAAAAACUUAGAUUUGACACAAGUAUAUUGAUAGAUUUGAAUCCCAGUGCAUAGUGAAAUCAUAGUGGUCUGAAUUAUUUUCAAGCUGAUCAGAGCGGUAAUUUGAUUUGAAAGAUGAAUGAUUCGAUUUUGAAAAUUUGAGGAUGAUUAUAUUUUGAGGUAAAGGUAAUCCUGAAUUUUUUAGGACUUAGCAAGAAAAAUUUCAAAGACGAAAUUUCUUUUUAUGAGGGGAGAAUAUAAUACCCCAAGUCCAAUCCAAGUCCCAAACCAAAAGAGUGGCACGGAUCCUAAAGCAAACAAAAAAAUUAUUAAGGCCAGCAUGUGCAAGGACUCCUUCCCUUUCCCAAAUUCCUUUGCUCCACUCCGAUUUUCACUAGAAAUCAAACACCGAAAGCCCUUCAAACCUUAAUUUCCUCCUCUAUUUAAAGUGAUCUGGGAUUUCUUCAUCUCCACUGCUGAUCUUUGGUCUUCAAAGUCGGUUAAAUCCCAUCAUUUUUCUUCUUCCGGAAAACCAUGGUUUCUAUUCAUUGUGUUGCCAGAAAUCAGGGCGUGACAAUCUUAGAAUGAAAUUAUUGGCAAAAAAAGCAUCCAAGCAUGUGAUAUUAGUAUCAAAAGCAUCAUUCACCGAACCAUCCCAAACCAGACGGUCCAGGCCAUGCUGAACCGUAUCGAUGGAAAACCGAUCCAGUUUCAACGUACAAAAUGGUACAGCAGCUGUCUUGGAGGAAGAGAGAAGAAAAAAAGGAAGAG
rnacentral:lncRNA from 1 species